rnacentral:rRNA from 1 species
AAAUUGAAGAGUUUGAUCAUGGCUCAGAUUGAACGCUGGCGGCAGGCCUAACACAUGCAAGUCGAGCGGAAACGACACUAACAAUCCUUCGGGUGCGUUAAUGGGCGUCGAGCGGCGGACGGGUGAGUAAUGCCUAGGAAAUUGCCUUGAUGUGGGGGAUAACCAUUGGAAACGAUGGCUAAUACCGCAUGAUGCCUACGGGCCAAAGAGGGGGACCUUCGGGCCUCUCGCGUCAAGAUAUGC